rnacentral:rRNA from 1 species
GAUGAACGCUGGCGGCGUGCUUAAUACAUGCAAGUCGAACGGACAGGCGCUGCUCUUGUGGGGUUCUCGAUAGGCGAACGGGUGAGUAACACGUGAGGAACCUGCACUUGACUGUGGGAUAUCUUCACGGAACUGGGGCUAAUACCGGAUAGAAUCUCCUGCUGCAUAGUGUGGGUUGGUAAGUGACGGCUGUGGUGGAUGGACGGGCGGGUUAUCCGCUUGAUGGUGGGGUAGUUGCUUACCAAGGCUUUGAAGGGUAGCCGGCCUGGGAGGGUGAACGGCCACAUUGGGACUGAGAUACGGCCCAGACUCCUACGGGCGGCAGCAGUGGGGAAUAUUGCACAAUGGGCGGAAGCCUGAUGCAGCAACGCCGCGUGCGGGAUGACGGCUUUCGAGUUGUAAACAGCUUUCGCCUGUGACGAAGCGUGCGUGACGGUAAUGGGUAAAGAAGCACCGGCUAACUACGUG